rnacentral:misc_RNA from 1 species
GAUGAAGAACGUAGCGAAAUGCGAUAACUAAUGUGAAUUGCAGAAUUCCGUGAAUCAUCGAGUCUUUGAACGCACAUUGCGCCCCCUGGUAUUCCGGGGGGCAUGCCUGUCCGAGCGUCAUUACAACCCUCAAGCCCGGCUUGUGUAAUGGGCGGCCGUCUCUCCCCCCGGGGGGAGACGCCCCCGAAACUCAGUGGGGAUGUCGCGAUACCGAAGCCUCAGCUAAUGGGUAAACCACAGCUGCAAUGGCCGCGGCCGGCGUCCGCCUUCCACGGUCCGUCCGCCUAGCGCGGGCGGCCUUCCCAAGGUUGACCUCGGAUCAGGUAGGGAUACCCGCUGAACUUAAGCAUAUCAAUAAGCGGAGGA